UCCGUAGGCGGGCAAUUAAGUCAGAGGUGAAAUCCCACAGCUCAACUGUGGAACUGCCUUUGAUACUGGUUGUCUUGAGUUACAGUGAAGUAGAUAGAAUAUGUAGUGUAGCGGUGAAAUGCAUAGAUAUUACAUAGAAUACCGAUUGCGAAGGUAGUCUACUAACUGUAUACUGACGCUAAUGGACGAAAGCGUGGGGAGCGAACAGGAUUAGAUACCCUGGUAGUCC
rnacentral:rRNA from 1 species